AAUGAACGUUGGCGGCGUGGAUUAGGCAUGCAGGUCGUACGGGUCGGUGUAGCAAUACAACGGCAAGUGGCGAAAGGGAGAGUAACACGUAGAUACCUACCCUCUGGUCGGGGAUACCGCGGAAUAACCGCAAGUAAUACCCGAUAAAAUCUCCGGAUCAAAGGUGUGAUUCCGCCGGAGGAGGGGUCUGCGUUCUAUCAGCUUGUUGGUGAGGUAUGGCUCACCAAGGCGAAGACGGAUACGGGGUGUGAGAGCAUGCCCCCGCUCACUGGGACUGAGACACUGCCCAGACACCUACGGGUGGCUGCAGUCGAGAAUCUGCGGCAAUGGGCGCAAGCCUGACCGAGCGGCGCCGCGUGCGGGAUGAAGGCCUUCGGGUUGUAAACCGCUGUCGAGGGGAAUGAAGUGUAGGUGGGUACUCCCAUCUAUUUGACAGAUCCCUGGAGGAAGCAUGGGCUAACUACGUGCCAGCAGCCGCCGUAAAAC
rnacentral:rRNA from 1 species